rnacentral:rRNA from 1 species
UACGUAGGUGGCAAGCGUUGUUCGGAAUUAUUGGGCGUAAAGGGCGCGUAGGCGGUUUGUUAAGUCAGCUGUGACAGCCCGGGGCUCAACCCCGGAGGGUCAGUUGAUACUGUGCGACUAGAGUGCGGAAGGGGCAACUGGAAUUCUUGGUGUAGCGGUGAAAUGCGUAGAUAUCAAGAGGAACACCUGCGGCGAAGGCGGGUUGCUGGGCCGACACUGACGCUGAGGCGCGAAAGCCAGGGGAGCGAACGGG